rnacentral:rRNA from 1 species
UACGUAGGGGGCAAGCGUUGUCCGGAAUUAUUGGGCGUAAAGAGCGCGUAGGCGGUCCGAUAAGUCGGCUGUGAAAGUCAGGGGCUCAACCCUUGAAAGCCGGCCGAUACUGUCGGACUAGAGUCCGGAAGAGGCAAGUGGAAUUCCCGGUGUAGCGGUGAAAUGCGCAGAUAUCAGGAGGAACACCGGUGGCGAAGGCGGCACUCUGGGCCGGUACUGACGCUGAGGAGCGAAAGCGUGGGGAGCGAACAGG